AACAAGGCGUACCUGCGGACCUGCGGAAGGAUCAUUAUCGAGUUAGGGUCGUUCUGGCCCGAACUUCCAACCCCUUGUUUAUCACACCAUGUUGCUUUGGUAGGCCCGCCCCUCCUUGGGGGGCCGCCGGAGGUUAUCUUACCUCUGGCCCGUGCCUGCCAGUAGCCUUAUUAAAUUCUUUUUUAACUGUGUCGUCUGAGUGGCCUUUUAAAUCGUUAAACUUUCAACAAUGGAUCUCAG
rnacentral:misc_RNA from 1 species